GGGCAGAUGAUGAACAAAACUUUGUAUUUUGGGCUGACUUAAAUGGAUGAUGCUCCAAAUUCGAGCUUUUUAAAACUGAUGCCUC